UACGUAGGGGGCAAGCGUUGUCCGGAUUUAUUGGGCGUAAAGAGCGUGUAGGCGGCCUGAAAGGUCAGCUGUGAAAACUCGAGGCUCAACCUCGAGACGUCGGUUGAAACCAUCUGGCUAGAGUCCGGAAGAGGAGUGUGGAAUUCCCGGUGUAGCGGUGAAAUGCGCAGAUAUCGGGAAGAACACCCGUGGCGAAGGCGGCACUCUGGGACGGUACUGACGCUGAGACGCGAAAAGCGUGGGGAGCAAACAGGG
rnacentral:rRNA from 1 species